rnacentral:lncRNA from 1 species
AAAAAUAAAAAUAGAGUGAUUCCCACCUCAUGGGAAAGUAUGUUUCUCAUAAGAAAGACUUUUCCAUGAAAUGUGGGAAUCAUAUUCCCAUGGGAAUACAAUUUUUUCGUUUCUCUUCUUCGAAAACUCCAAUCAAACAAGAGGCAUCUCAUUACUUUUCCGUUGACUACACUUUCCCCCAUUCUUUUCCUGCGAAUCAAACGAGCCCUACAUUGUUCUCAACCCUUCCCAUCCUGCACCGGCCCUGCUUCUUAUGUCAGUUAUACUGGUCCUCACUUUUGUGAAGCUUUCUAAGUGUUAAAAGUGGCUACAGAGUGGGCCGUUCUUGCAAUUAAAACAAAACUAAAUCCAACAUCAAAAAAGAGUUAUUGUCUGUAAUUAUAGCUCUUUUUUUAGAAUUCUCUGACCUCUUCAAUUCAUUCUUGCAAGAGAUGUACCCACACAUC